UACGCAGGGUGCGAGCGUUAAUCGGAAUUACUGGGCGUAAAGCGUGCGCAGGCGGUUUUGUAAGCCAGAUGUGAAAGCCCCGGGCUCAACCUGGGAAUGGCAUUUGGGACUGCAAGGCUUGAGUGCGGCAGAGGAGACUGGAAUUCCUGGUGUAGCAGUGAAAUGCGUAGAUAUCAGGAGGAAUACCGAUGGCGAAGGCAGGUCUCUGGGCUGACACUGACGCUCAUGCACGAAAGCGUGGGGAGCAAACAGG
rnacentral:rRNA from 1 species